AGCUGAUCAUUGGGUGUAAAGCGUGCGCAGGCGGUUUUGUAAGACAGAGGUGAAAUCCCCGGGCUCAACCUGGGAACUGCCUUUGUGACUGCAAGGCUGGAGUGCGGCAGAGGGGGAUGGAAUUCCGCGUGUAGCAGUGAAAUGCGUAGAUAUGCGGAGGAACGCCGAUGGCGAAGGCAAUCCCCCUGGGCCUGCACUGACGCUCAUGCACGAAAGCGUGGGGAGCAAACA
rnacentral:rRNA from 1 species